UGAAUACGAGACGCUAAGGCGUCGAAGUAGUGUAUGUCAUACUUCCAAGAAAAGCUUGCACUGUCAUAGAUAAAAAACGCCUGUACCAUAACCGACACAGGUGGGUAGGUAGAGUAUACUAAGGGGCGCGAGAUAACUCUCUCUAAGGAACUCGGCAAAAUAACUCCGUAACUUCGGGAGAAGGAGUGCCUUAUUUAUAAGGCUGCAAUAACAAGAUCCAAGCAACUGUUUAUCAAAAACACAGGUCUCCGCUAAGUCGUAAGACGAUGUAUGGGGGCUGACGCCUGCCCAGUGCCAGAAGGUUAAAGAAGUUGGUUAGCUUUUGCGAAGCUGAUAACUGAAGCCCUGGUGAACGGCGGCCGUAACCAUAACGGUCCUAAGGUAGCGAAAUUCCUUGUCGGGUAAGUUCCGACCCGCACGAAAGGCGUAAUGAUUUGGAUACUGUCUCGGAGAGGGGCUCGGUGAAAUAGACUUGUCUGUGAAGAUGCGGACUACCUGCACCAGGACAGAAAGACCCUAUGAAGCUUUACUGUAACUUGAAAUUGAAAUUGGACUUUAUUCGCGCAGCAUAGGUGGGAGGCGUUGAUUAUAAUCUCGUGGGAUUAUUGGAGCCAUCAGUGAGAUACCACUCUUGUAAUGUUAGAUUUCUAACUUUGAAUCAUUAUCUGGUCAAAGAACAGUUUCAGGCGGGCAGUUUGACUGGGGCGGUCGCCUCCUAAACGGUAACGGAGGCGUACAAAGGUUUCCUCUGAACGGUUAGAAAUCGUAUCUAGAGUGUAAAGGCAUAAGGAAGCUUGACUGUGAGACCUACAAGUCGAGCAGGGACGAAAGUCGGUCUUAGUGAUCUGACGGUACUGAGUGGAAAGGCCGUCACUCAACGGAUAAAAGUUACUCUAGGAUAACAGGCUGAUCUCCCCCAAGAGUUCACAUCGACGGGGAGGUUUGGCACCUCGAUGUCGGCUCAUCGCAUCCUGGGGCGGUAGUACGUCCCAAGGGUUGGGCUGUUCGCCCAUGAAAGCGGUACGCGAGCUGGGUUCAGAACGUCGUGAGACAGUUCGGUCCAUAUCCGGUGUAGGCGUUAGAAUAUUGAGAGGAGCCUUCUUUAGUACGAGAGGACCGAGAAGGACAUACCUCUGGUGUACCAGUUAUCGUGCCAACGGUAAACGCUGGGUAGCUAUGUAUGGAGUGGAUAACCGCUGAAAGCAUCUAAGUGGGAAGCCCACCUCAAGAUAAG
rnacentral:rRNA from 1 species